UAGUGGCGACGGGUGAGUAACACGUGAGUAACCUGCCCUAGAGUGGGGGACAACAGUUGGAAACGACUGCUAAUACCGCAUAAGCCCACGGUACCGCAUGGUACUGAGGGAAAAGGAUUUAUUCGCUUUAGGAUGGACUCGCGUCCAAUUAGCUAGUUGGUGAGGUAACGGCCCACCAAGGCGACGAUUGGUAGCCGGACUGAGAGGUUGAACGGCCACAUUGGGACUGAGACACGGCCCAG
rnacentral:rRNA from 1 species